rnacentral:lncRNA from 1 species
AAAUACGAAAUACCGUAAAUGUCUUGAACGUGUAAUUGUGUCACGCAAUCACAAUCCAAGAAAUAACUAAAAACUUAACUAAAUCGAAAACUAACUAAAAACAAUGAAAAUUCAAAACUAUGAAAAAGAACUAUGAAAGCAAUAAAUCCUAAAUUUUGGAUGCCAAGAGAUCUCAAAGAUGGCGUCUAAAACUAGGGCAAAAGAUUGAUUAUUACAAUGAAAAGUAUG